UACGUAGGCAGCAAGCGUUGUUCGGAGUUACUGGGCGUAAAGGGUGUGUAGGCGGUUGUUUAAGUUUGGUGUGAAAUCUCCCGGCUCAACCGGGAGGGUGCGCCGAAUACUGAAUAACUAGAGUGCGGGAGAGGAAAGUGGAAUUCCUGGUGUAGCGGUGAAAUGCGCAGAUAUCAGGAAGAACACCCGUGGCGAAGGCGGCUCUCUGGAACGCAACUGACGCUGAGACGCGAAAGCGUGGGGAGCAAACAGG
rnacentral:rRNA from 1 species